AGCUUUUUGGUGAGUUUUUCUUGGUUUAAAACACAGUGGUAUUUGACUCUUAUACUGGAACAAAAUAUGGCUCAAGUCUUGAUUUCAUUAAAAUGUAUUUACUA